GAGAGAGAGAGAGAGAGAGAGAGAGAGAGAGAGAGAUGGGUUUGUAUUUGUUGCUUCAGCUCUUCUGGCUAUCAAUAACAGUAGAAGUACUAGCAUCACAACCUCUAGCAACAACCAAGCGCGGCUGCCCCGACAAAUGUGGGAAUGUUAGCAUUCCCUACCCGUUUGGCAUAGGCGAUAACUGCAACAUUGGCGUAGAAGGCUUCAAUAUCUCCUGCGAUAACACUCUUCCCCAUCCGAAACCAUUUUGGGGCGAGCUUGAGGUUCUCGACAUAUCAUUAACGCAGGGCCUAAUGAGAAUUUCAAACGAUAUAAGCUAUAAGUGUUACAACAAAAUCACAGGAGAUUCGGUCAACUACUCCACCACUGGGCUCCAGUUAUAUGAAGAUUACUCCUUCACAUUCUCAGAAACCCUUAACAGAUUCAUUUCCAUCGGUUGCGAUACUGUUGGCUUGAUCACUGGCGAAUGGGGCAGCGACUUCACCAGUGGUUGUGUUUCAAUUUGCCGCUUCCCUGACAACGUGACCACCGACGGCUCUUGCUCAGGGGCAGGAUGUUGCCAAACCGAGAUCCCAAAGGAUUUGAAGAGUUUCGGGGUGGAUUUUGCUAGCUUCUCCAGCCAUCUAAAUGUCUCAAGUUUCAAUCCGUGCAGCUUCGCCUUUCUCGGGGAGGCAGAUGUGUUCAGAUUCAAACCUUCUGAUUUGGAAGAAACCAACUUUUUGGAAAGAAGCAAAACCAUUCCGGUAGUGGUUGACUGGGUCAUUGGAAAUGAAGGGUGCGAGAUCGCACGGAAGAACUCGGCCACCUUCGCUUGCGUGAGCGAGAACAGCUUCUGCUAUAGCCCGACCAGCGGUUCGGGUUACCGGUGCAAUUGCACUGAAGGUUUCCGGGGGAAUCCUUAUCUCCAUGGAGGAUGCCAAGAUAUCAACGAGUGUGAGGAGGAUCACCAGAAGACACUUUGUCAACAUGAUUGCAUAAAUCUGCCAGGAAAUUAUUCUUGUUCCUGUCGAAAGGGCUACCGAUUCCAGGAGGAUAACAAAUACUGCGUCAAAGACACAAAUGAAUUUCCAGUGACCGCUGUUGUUCUGGGUAUUGGCUUAAGUCUCUUAUUUCUACUCAUUGGUAGUCCUUCCUUGUAUUGGGUAUGGAGGAAAAGAAAGCUCAUCAAACUCAAAGAGAAAUUCUUUCAACAAAAUGGAGGUUUUCUAUUACAAGAAAAGAUCUCUUCUUGUCAAUCAUCUACUGAGCCAUGCAAAAUCUAUACUACAGAAGAGUUGGAAAAGGCAACCAAUAACUAUGACAAAAACCAAAUUGUUGGUCAGGGAGGCUAUGGCACAGUUUACAAAGGAAUUUUACCAGACAAGAGAAUUGUCGCUGUUAAAAAGUCCAAAAUUGUCGAUGAGACCCAAAUCGAGCAAUUUAUAAAUGAGAUCCACAUCUUAUCUCAGAUCAACCAUAGGAACAUUGUAAAGCUCGAGGGUUGCUGUUUAGAAGCAGAAGUUCCCAUCCUGGUUUAUGAAUUUAUUUCAAGUGGAACCCUUUCCCAGCAUAUCCAUGAUGAGGGCCGUGUGUCAUCAAUUUCCUUGGAAAAUCGUCUAAGGAUUGCUGCAGAAACUGCUGGGGCACUUUACUAUUUACACUCGGCGGCUUCCACACCCAUUUUUCAUAGAGAUGUUAAGUCUGCUAAUAUACUUUUGGAUGAUAAUUUCACAGCAAAAGUGUCUGAUUUUGGAGCUUCAAGAUUGGUUCCGUUGGAUCACACUCGGAUAACGACAUUGGUGAUGGGGACAUGGGGAUAUUUAGACCCAGAGUACCAUCAAACAGGCCAAUUAACAGGAAAGAGUGAUGUUUAUAGCUUUGGUGUAGUUCUUGUGGAACUCUUGACGGGUGAGGGGCCCGUUUCUUCCACUAGAUCCCAAGUUAAUAGAAGCCUUUCUAGCUACUUCCUCUCAUCGAUGAAAGAGAAUCGGAUCUUUGAAAUUUUAGAGGAACGAGUUCGAGAAGAAGGGACGGAAGAACAGCUCAUUGCAGUUGCUCGGCUUGCUAAGAGAUGCUUGAAACUUAAGGGGGAAGAACGACCUACGAUGAAGGAAGUGGUGGUGGAGCUAGAGGGCUUAAGAAGGAUUCAUGAACAUCCUUGGGAACCAAAGAACCAUGAAGAGACUGAGAACUUGCUAGGUGAACCUGGAGCUUCGCAGGGCUACACUGGCAAUGUAACAAAUGAAUAUAGUGUUGAUGGCCACACCCUAUCAGCACUAGAUAUAGAGAUAGGGCGUUGAUUCACUUCCAUUAAAAAGAUCUUACCACACUUAAUUUCUUUCGAAGGUAAGACCCUAAUAUCUUAUCUUGUUUUUGCAACUAAGAUGAAUACCACAAAGGGAAUUGAUAUCUUCAACAACUCUAAUUGAUUUGUUCAUAUACCCAUUUUCUGUUUUGGAAAUUGAAAUAGUGCCUUUUUGUUGGGUGUCAAUAUAGUGGAGAUUGAAGAAGUAGAAUAUGGUGGAGCAAUCUUUCUGCAUUACUCAUGCCAGGCUGAUGUGUGAAUUGGGUCCACCAAGAUGCAGGGGCCAGCAUGGAUGGUUUAUCUAAAAAUCACUCAUAUCUCAUCUUUGGCCAUUAUAGUGUUGAAAAACGAAAUACUUAGAACUAUCAAAUAUGAAGUGAGAUGAACUGUAGAAAAUGUUUUAUUAUUAAAUGUAAGCUAUCCAUCCUGGUGCCAGUGACCUAAUAGGUGCAUUAACCUGCCACGUGGUAUGUGGAGAGAUGGCUCUACCAUAUAAUAGUUCUUUUGGGUUGAUACAUUGUAGCAUCCAAUCCACUUGUGGUACCUCCAUUCAAUUCUCAAAAUGGGUUUAAGUAGUUAGCUCCCUAUUCUAAUAUGACAUUUGACUUUUUGUUAACAUUUCAGGUAAAAUAGUGUUGUAUUGUGCUAAGGGAGAUAUGGUUCAUAUACUACAAGUCAGUAAGUGUUUUCUACGACUCACGUUCACCUGUGGAUACAAGUUAUUAAUAUGUAGUAGAAGGUAUUCGCCUACGUCCACCGUAAUGUGGUGUGUUCAAGUAUAAAAUACGCAUGUAUAAGUUGCAUAUAUGUGCAAUUAUAUGGAUAGAGAUCCCCUACUUA